rnacentral:lncRNA from 1 species
UUCAUAGUUACAAUUUUCCUAGAGAGAGAGGCGAUUUGGUGAAGAACACUUGUACUAGACGGUUUUGCUUUUCAAGUAAUAGAAUCGUGUGCAAGUGUUUAAAGGUGAUUCGGUUUGUUCUUCGUUUCCAUAUUUUCGGUUCGAUUUUCAUAUUUUUCGAUUUAUCUUGAAUCAUCUUGUGAUUGGAUUCCGCACUCUCACAAGAUAGAUUGAUAUCAUUGAGAUCCUCACGGGUUUUACAAGUGGUAUCAGAGCCUUUAGAACCUAUUUCUAGGCUCGGUUUGAUAUCAAAGAUUCAAGAUUUUCGUUAUCUUUUUGGUUCGGUGUUCUUUGUGUUCUUCGCGUUCUUCGUUUGUUCAUCGAAAUUUUAUCAAAAGUUAGUAUAUUUUGGUAUUUUGAUCUUAUUGGAAGUUGUUAAUGGAUUAGGGAUAUUGUUUUACUUUUGAAAAGAUUUGAAAUUAAAAGUUGUUUUGAGAAAUUCCUUUAUUUUCGAACAGUUUUCUAACAAAUCUUUUUAAAAAGGUUUCAAUUAUUUCCUAAUUUUAAAAUAACAUUACCAGUUUUCAUAAUUAAAAAAAAAUUUCAAAAUUAUCUCUUGGUAUCCACUGUUUCCAAAAACACAUUCCGAAUCUCAAAAAUUUCAAAUCCACUGUUUCCAAAUUCAAUUGGUUUCGAGUCCUCUUCCUCCAUUGUCGCAACCACUGUUCCAAUAUUCCACAUUUGAAGGACGAGUCGCAACCAGCCAAUCAUCCGGACUCGCAACCUCAUUGUUCAAAUUGUCUGACUCGCAACCGCAGUUCCGAGUCGCAACCGAGAUCUCGACUCUUCACGGCUUGUCGCAACCUCAUUGUUCAAAUCGUCUGACUCGCAACCUUCAAAUCCAUCAUCUCGCAAUCUUCAUCAAGUCGCAAUCAAGGUUUCGGCUCUUCACGGUUUCGUUCGGACUCGCAUCAACUCCAUUACGAGUCGCAACCACCGUUCCGACUCGUCCGACUCGCAACCACGGUUCCGAGUCGCAACCAUCUCCGGUCGUCAAUCUCCGGCCUGCAUCACUGUCAUCGUCUGAAUCAAUCAUCUCGGUCAUCGUCGGUCAUCGUUCACCACGUUCCCAUCCCCGUUCAUCAUCAUCUCCGUCUCGAGCUCACCACCUCCGUUCAUCUCAUCUCCGUGAUUUACCAACCGCCGAUCAUCUCCUUCAUCGUCUAAUCUCCAAGUGAUCUUUUAAUAUCCCCGUCGAUCUCCAUCCGUUCUCCGUUCAGCAAAGUCUCAUCAUCAACAUCUCCUUCGGUCAUCACCUCUAUCCACCUCCGGUUCUGUUCAUCGUCUUCAUCACGUUACAACCUGCAACUCCGGUUACCCCGCAUCUCCACCUCCUCCGAUCUCCGGUCGUCAUCCUCACCACUGCACAACCGAUUCUGUCUCCGAACUCGCACACCAUCUCCGACGAUCUGUCACUCUCCGGUCAUCAUCAGUGGUGGCGGCUGAAAUUUUGGAGUUUAGGGUUGUUGUCGUUUUGAACGAAGAGGACAAACCAGACAAAUUAAUUUGAAACUGACAUUUAGUAUUUAAUUAAUACAAUAUUUAAAAUAUACCCAUGGCAUUAUAGCCUAGUGGUAUUUGGAGGUGGGAUAAGGCUUAUGACCAUUAGGUCAUGGGUUCGAUUCUCACAAAGGGGGCAUGAUUGCCUAGUGGAGAUGGAUAUGAUCGGGUGGUUCUGCUGGUGGCACGAUGAUACUCCAGUGGUCCGUCAGUGAUCCAAAUUUGCCGUUC